UGUAUGUUCAGAGGCACCCCAACCCAAGAAAUCUACCUCCCCGCUGGUAUCGAAGGAUUGUAUCGGCACAGGUGAUAUAGUACAAAAUUAUUUAUUUCUUGGUUCUUUUGGUUUUAAAAGUAAAGCCCACAGGCACACAGGAUGAUAAGGGAAGUAUAAGACAUGCACAAUUUGAUAGUUGACAGAACAGGGGACCACUAGCCUCACAAUAAUAGAACUGUAGCCUAUGGUCAAUGCAAAUCACAGCACUCAUAAAAUAAAGAAAAGAAGGUAACAAACCAAACAAGCAAGCAAAGCAAAACACUCCAAAACAGUAUUACUCUACAAACCAAACACAAGGGACCACAAAUACAGCCUAUCGAAUAAAGAGACCAGAGCCUAACUGCCCAUCCCACCCAAUUGUACUUGCCCAAUAAAUAACCCCACCUUAUCCCUAUAUUCUCCUACGGACACGGUCCUUCACACGUACCAACCCGCCGGUAUGCGGCCACAGUCACUCACGCGCACCAACAUAUUCCCACUCGCCGGUAUGCGCACGCGCACACACGUAAACUAUAGAGAGGGAGAGAAGAAAACAGUGGCCACACGCUGGAGCUGGAGUCAAGGGUCGGUGCGUGUCUGCCGUUCCCCCUUAUCCCCGCUGCACGCCCGCCCUGAUUCCCCGGCUGCAGCAAACGUCUCCGAUCCCCCAGCUGCGGCCAACGCCUGUCACAGGCUGCGAGGAUCAAUACACGCAGACACCACCGAUCACAUUGUCAAUCUAGCCAUGCAAGAAUGAAUUGGGGAAAGGGUGAAGACACUACAUUACCUUGAGUCACGAUGUAGUUUAAAUUAAGACAGACACCCGACGUCGCUCUACAGCCCCAGCGUUCUGAGUUCCCUGCUCUCGAAAGCCCCAAAGAGAUCCCACGUCAUGGAAGCCCAGGUGUAUUUAUAGACAUCCUAAUUACAUCCCAUCAGUGCCCAAUUGUCAAACACGUAUUGCUUCCUCCCCUACUUUACCGUGUUUUCACCUUUCUGGUCACUCUGCUCACACUUACCAAAGGGUUAUUGGGCCAUUCUAAACCAUUUGGAAGUGGAAUACAUUAGUUUUGAGCGAAAUCAACAAUGUAAGGUCAAAAGCACGUUUAUGGUCGAAAAGUGAUUCUAGCGCUCUGAAAAAGCAUUUUGCAGGCAUAAAAACAAGAAAUGUUGAUAUCUCUGUCAAUUUAAAUGCAAACAUGUUACUAAGCUUACCAAAGGGUUUAUUGGGCCAUGCUAAACCAUUUGGAAGUGGAAUAUAUUAGUUUUGAGUGAAAUCAACAAUGUAAGGUGAAAAAAACAUUGUUGGUUUAAAAGUGAUUCUAGCGCUCUGAAAAGCAUUUUGCAGGCAUAAAAACAAGAAAUGUUGAUAUCUCUGUCAAUUUCAAUUCAAACGUGUUACUAAGCUUACCAAAGGGUUAUAGGGCCAUACACCACCAUUUGGAAGUGGAAUACAUUCGUUUUGAGCGAAAUCAACAAUGUAAGUUCAAAAACACGUUUAUGGUCGAAAAGUGAAUCUAGCGCUCUGAAAAGCAUUUUGCAGGCAUUAAAACCAGAAAUGUUGAUAUCUCUGUCAAUUUAAAUUCAAACAUGUUACUAAGCUUACCAAAGGGUUUAUUGGGCC
rnacentral:lncRNA from 1 species